GACGAUGAACCACUUCGGUGGGGAUUAGUGGCGAACGGGUGAGUAACACGUGGGCAAUCUGCCCUGCACUCUGGGACAAGCCCUGGAAACGGGGUCUAAUACCGGAUACUGAUCCGCUUGGGCAUCCAGGCGGUUCGAAAGCUCCGGCGGUGCAGGAUGAGCCCGCGGCCUAUCAGCUUGUUGGUGAGGUAGUGGCUCACCAAGGCGACGACGGGUAGCCGGCCUGAGAGGGCGACCGGCCACACUGGGACUGAGACACGGCCCAGACUCCUACGGGAGGCAGCAGUGGGGAAUAUUGCACAAUGGGCGAAAGCCUGAUGCAGCGACGCCGCGUGAGGGAUGACGGCCUUCGGGUUGUAAACCUCUUUCAGCAGGGAAGAAGCGAAAGUGACGGUACCUGCAGAAGAAGCGCCGGCUAACUACGUGCCAGCAGCCGCGGUAAUACGUAGGGCGCAAGCGUUGUCCGGAAUUAUUGGGCGUAAAGAGCUCGUAGGCGGCUUGUCACGUCGGUUGUGAAAGCCCGGGGCUUAACCCCGGGUCUGCAGUCGAUACGGGCAGGCUAGAGUUCGGUAGGGGAGAUCGGAAUUCCUGGUGUAGCGGUGAAAUGCGCAGAUAUCAGGAGGAACACCGGUGGCGAAGGCGGAUCUCUGGGCCGAUACUGACGCUGAGGAGCGAAAGCGUGGGGAGCGAACAGGAUUAGAUACCCUGGUAGUCCACGCCGUAAACGGUGGGCACUAGGUGUGGGCAACAUUCCACGUUGUCCGUGCCGCAGCUAACGCAUUAAGUGCCCCGCCUGGGGAG
rnacentral:rRNA from 1 species